GACGAACGCUGGCGGCGUGCUUAACACAUGCAAGUCGAACGGAAAGGCCCUGCUCUUGUGGGGUUCUCGAGUGGCGAACGGGUGAGUAACACGUGAGUAACCUGCACUUGACUUUGGGAUAACUUCAGGAAACUCGGGCUAAUACCGGAUAGAAUCUCCUGCUGCACGGUGGGGGUUGGAAAGUUUCGGCGGUUGGGGAUGGAAUCGCGGCUUAUCAGCUUGUUGGGCGGGUAGGGGCUUCCCAAGGCCUUGACGGGUAGCCUGCCUGAGAGGGUGAGCGGGCACAUUGGGACUAAGAGAGGGCACAGACGCGAACGGGAGGCAGCGGUGGGGAGUAUGGCAGAGUGGGGGGAAGCGAGAUGUAGAAGUGCCGGGUGCGGAAUGCCGGGUUUCGGGUUGUAAACAGCUUUGGCAUGAGAUGAGCAGGGAGUGACGGUAAUGGGUAAGGAAGCACCGGCUAACUACGUG
rnacentral:rRNA from 1 species